rnacentral:rRNA from 1 species
UACGUAGGGGGCAAGCGUUGUCCGGAAUUAUUGGGCGUAAAGAGCGCGUAGGCGGUCCGAUAAGUCGGCUGUGAAAGUCAGGGGCUCAACCCUUGGAAGCCGGCCGAUACUGUCGGACUAGAGUCCGGAAGAGGCGAGUGGAAUUCCCGGUGUAGCGGUGAAAUGCGCAGAUAUCGGGAGGAACACCAAUGGCGAAGGCAGCUCGCUGGGACGGUACUGACGCUAAGGCGCGAAAGCGUGGGGAGCGAACAGG